UAUAGUGUUAAUUCCCUCAAUCCUUAUCUAAUUAGGAGUCCUACUCAAUUUAGUAAUAACACUAAAAUAAGAUUUCUGCUCAUUAUAGGAAAUAUUCCUCAAUUUUAUUGAGUAAAAUUUCUCCCACUCAAAUUAGAAAAAGAUCUCUCUCCAAAUUCCAUUAGGAUUUUGAGUAAUAAUUUUAACAAUCUCCACGUUGACUCAAAAUCCAUCAACCAUUGCAUGUCUCAAAUUCUUGGGUGUCAUCAAAUCAUCAAACUUCCAUGCUUGAACUUGAACCCUUCAAAUCAUCAAUUCUUUAAUCAUCUUGGAUAUAACUUGCUUUAUUCUUAAAAAAAUCUUCAUGUCAUCAACUAUCUUGGUUUUACAUCAAGAGAUCCACCUAAAUUUUAUCUCUUCAUCACCUUGAACUUGCAUCAUUAUUAUUGCAUGUGCAACUUUCCACAUAUCACAAUAGCUCCACCUUUAACCAAACUCACCAAAAUCAUUCCAAUCCUCUGAUACCAAUUUGUUGUGCACCGCGUAAGUGUAUAAACUGCAAAGAAACAAAACAAACACACAAAACAUCAAUAUUUACGUGGUUCACCCACUCAACAUUGGACUACAUCCACGGGCAUGCCAUCUUUCACUAUCAA
rnacentral:misc_RNA from 1 species